rnacentral:rRNA from 1 species
GGGACAACCCGCCGAAAGGCGGGCUAAACCCGCGUACAUGCCACCGGGGCAUCCCGGAGGCAGGAAAGGCUUCGGCCGGACAGGGAUGGGCAUGCGGCGCAUUAGGCAGUAGGCGGGGUAACGGCCCACCUAACCGACGAUGCGUAGGGGUUCUGAGAGGAAGGUCCCCCACACUGGUACUGAGACACGGACCAGACUCCUACGGGAGGCAGCAGUGAGGAAUAUUGGUCAAUGGUCGGGAGACUGAACCAGCCAAGCCGCGUGAGGGAGGAGGGUACAGAGUAUCGUAAACCUCUUUUGUCAGGGAACAAAGACUGGGACGCGUCCCCGGAUGAGUGUACCUGAAGAAAAAGCAUCGGCUAACUCCGUGCCAGCAGCCGCGGUAAUACGGAGGAUGCGAGCGUUAUCCGGAUUUAUUGGGUUUAAAGGGUGCGCAGGCGGUCUGUUAAGUCAGCGGUCAAAGCCCGGGGCUCAACCCCGGCCCGCCGUUGAAACUGGCAGUCUCGAGUUGGAGAGAAGUAUGCGGAAUGCGCGGUGUAGCGGUGAAAUGCAUAGAUAUCGCGCAGAACUCCGAUUGCGAAGGCAGCAUGCCGGCUCCACACUGACGCUGAGGCACGAAAGCGUGGGUAUCGAACAGGAUUAGAUACCCUGGUAGUCCACGCAGUAAAC